rnacentral:rRNA from 1 species
UACGGGGGGGGCAAGCGUUGUUCGGAAUUACUGGGCGUAAAGGGCGCGUAGGCGGUUUGCUAAGUUGGAUGUGAAAACUCUGGGCUUAACCCAGAGCCUGCAUCCAAAACUGGCAAACUUGAGUACUGGAGGGGAAAGCGGAAUUCCUGGUGUAGCGGUGAAAUGCGUAGAUAUCAGGAGGAACACCGGUGGCGAAGGCGGCUUUCUGGACAGUUCCUGACGCUGAGGCACGAAGGUCAGGGGAGCAAACGGG